GAUGAACGCUGGCGGCGUGCCUAAUACAUGCAAGUCGAGCGAACGGACGAGAAGCUUGCUUCUCUGAUGUUAGCGGCGGACGGGUGAGUAACACGUGGAUAACCUACCUAUAAGACUGGGAUAACUUCGGGAAACCGGAGCUAAUACCGGAUAAUAUUUUGAACCGCAUGGUUCAAAAGUGAAAGACGGUCUUGCUGUCACUUAUAGAUGGAUCCGCGCCGCAUUAGCUAGUUGGUAAGGUAACGGCUUACCAAGGCAACGAUGCAUAGCCGACCUGAGAGGGUGAUCGGCCACACUGGAACUGAGACACGGUCCAGACUCCUACGGGAGGCAGCAGUAGGGAAUCUUCCGCAAUGGGCGAAAGCCUGACGGAGCAACGCCGCGUGAGUGAUGAAGGUCUUCGGAUCGUAAAACUCUGUUAUUAGGGAAGAACAUAUGUGUAAGUAACUGUGCACAUCUUGACGGUACCUAAUCAGAAAGCCACGGCUAACUACGUGCCAGCAGCCGCGGUAAUACGUAGGUGGCAAGCGUUAUCCGGAAUUAUUGGGCGUAAAGCGCGCGUAGGCGGUUUUUUAAGUCUGAUGUGAAAGCCCACGGCUCAACCGUGGAGGGUCAUUGGAAACUGGAAAACUUGAGUGCAGAAGAGGAAAGUGGAAUUCCAUGUGUAGCGGUGAAAUGCGCAGAGAUAUGGAGGAACACCAGUGGCGAAGGCGACUUUCUGGUCUGUAACUGACGCUGAUGUGCGAAAGCGUGGGGAUCAAACAGGAUUAGAUACCCUGGUAGUCCACGCCGUAAACGAUGAGUGCUAAGUGUCAGGGGGUUUCCGCCCCUUAGUGCUGCAGCUAACGCAUUAAGCACUCCGCCUGGGGAGUACGACCGCAAGGUUGAAACUCAAAGGAAUUGACGGGGACCCGCACAAGCGGUGGAGCAUGUGGUUUAAUUCGAAGCAACGCGAAGAACCUUACCAAAUCUUGACAUCCUUUGACAACUCUAGAGAUAGAGCUUUCCCCUUCGGGGGACAAAGUGACAGGUGGUGCAUGGUUGUCGUCAGCUCGUGUCGUGAGAUGUUGGGUUAAGUCCCGCAACGAGCGCAACCCUUAAGCUUAGUUGCCAUCAUUAAGUUGGGCACUCUAAGUUGACUGCCGGUGACAAACCGGAGGAAGGUGGGGAUGACGUCAAAUCAUCAUGCCCCUUAUGAUUUGGGCUACACACGUGCUACAAUGGACAAUACAAAGGGCAGCGAAACCGCGAGGUCAAGCAAAUCCCAUAAAGUUGUUCUCAGUUCGGAUUGUAGUCUGCAACUCGACUACAUGAAGCUGGAAUCGCUAGUAAUCGUAGAUCAGCAUGCUACGGUGAAUACGUUCCCGGGUCU
rnacentral:rRNA from 1 species